UGUUCUCACAGAGCCGCCUGGAACGGGGGCGUUAGCAAGCUGGGCGUGGGGGGCGGGGCGUGCGGGGGCACUGGGAGGAUGCUGGCGCCACCCGGCCCUGCAGCCCCGCGGGUCCCUGCCUGGAGCCACUUGUGGGCAGCUGUGACGAGGAGUAAAAGACAAAAAUGAUCCUGGAUGGUGUGCAGGGGCUCGAGUGGCGAUGUGAAGGUGCAGGAGUAUUAAAUGGGACUGUGAUGGCAUUAAAGGCAGGAACCUUCCCCGUGCGCUCACCAUGUUCCCGCCCUCGAUGAAAUGUUUGUCACCCAUUACCCUCAUUGAUCCUCGCGAGGUAGACACACAGAGCGGAGAUAAGGAGAAGACGGCCAUGUGAAGACAGAGGGAGAGAUGCUGCCACAAGCCAAGGAAUGCCAAGAAUUGCUAAAACCUGCCAGAGGCUGGGGGAGGCGCGCAAGGGCUUUCCAUAAAGACUUCAGAAGGAGCCUGGCCCCGCGGACACCUUGAUUUCAGACGUCUAGCUUCCAGAAUUGUGAGAGAAUAAACUUCCAUUGUUUUAAGCCA